rnacentral:ncRNA from 1 species
GAUCGGAGUGAUAUAUCUGUAAAAUGGUAAUGCAGGUAUUCCAAGGCAAGCUCAGCAUUGAUGGAAACCACAUGUCGAGCAAAAUGGCAAAAGCUUGCUAGAUCUCGAGAUAUCAGCAAAAAAAUCCAGUGAAAGUAGA